rnacentral:tRNA from 1 species
GGCCCCAUAGCUCAGUGAUUGGAGUACUGGUAUAGUAAACCAGGGGUCGAGAGUUCAGUUAUCUCUGAGGGCA